rnacentral:rRNA from 1 species
GACGAACGCUGGCGGCGUGCUUAACACAUGCAAGUCGAACGGAAAGGCCCUGCUUGCAGGGUACUCGAGUGGCGAACGGGUGAGUAACACGUGGGUGAUCUGCCCUGCACUUCGGGAUAAGCUUGGGAAACUGGGUCUAAUACCGGAUAGGAGCCAUCUUUAGUGUGGUGGUUGGAAAGUUUUUUCGGUGUAGGAUGAGCUCGCGGCCUAUCAGCUUGUUGGUGGGGUAAUGGCCUACCAAGGCGGCGACGGGUAGCCGGCCUGAGAGGGUGUACGGCCACAUUGGGACUGAGAUACGGCCCAGACUCCUACGGGGGGCAGCAGUGGGGAAUAUUGCACAAUGGGCGCGAGCCUGAUGCAGCGACGCCGCGUGGGGGAUGAAGGCCUUCGGGUUGUAAACUCCUUUCGCUAGGGACGAAGCUUUUUUGUGACGGUACCUAGAUAAGAAGCACCGGCUAACUACGUG